rnacentral:rRNA from 1 species
GCCAGCCGCCGCGGUAAUACCUGCAGCUCAAGUGGUGGCCGCUAUUAUUGGGCCUAAAACGUCCGUAGCCGGUUCUAUAAAUGCCUGGGUAAAUCGUACGGCUUAACCGUACGAAUUCCGGGUAGACUGUUCAACUUGGGACCGGGAGAGGCUAGAGGUACUCCUGGGGGUAGAGGUGAAAUUCUGUAAUCCUAGGGGGGACCACCAGUGGCGAAGGCGUCUAGCUAGAACGGGUCUGACGGUGAGGGACGAAGCCCUGGGGAGCAAACGGGAUUAGAUACCCCGGUAGUCCAGGGUGUAAACGCUGCUCGCUUGAUGUUAGUCGGGCUCCGAGCCCAACUAGUGUCGGAGAGAAGUUGUUAAGCGAGCUGCCUGGGGAGUACGGUCGCAAGACUGAAACUUAAAGGAAUUGGCGGGGGAGCCACCGCAACGGGUGGAGCGUGCGGUUUAAUUGGAUUCAACGCCGGAAAACUCACCGGGGGCGACGGUUAUAUGAAGGCCAGGCUGAUGACCUUGCCUGAUUUUCCGAGAAGUGGUGCAUGG